ACUAAUCAGAGUAUGCACUGAAACACUGGAGUCUGAUGAGCAUGAUCACAUGAAGGACCCAGUGGAAAGUUUGAUUGUAUUAAGUGGCUGUGGAACAUCAGACUGCAUUGCAUUUUUUUGGGACAUCCUUUAAUAAGAUGUUGAAUGCCCCAAAACAGAAGCCGAUCUGUUCGUACAU